rnacentral:sRNA from 1 species
UUUUUAUUUUAAAGUUUAAAUUAAAGGCGGUGUUAUUUGCUUAAAAUUAAAAUAUAUAAUAGGGGAUUCGCUAACCUUUAUAUUUUCUGGGCCAUUAGUGUUAAUAAACUAAUAUAUAUUUUUAAAAACUCGACAAAGCCUAUUUUGUUUGGAACCCAAUUUUGGUCCUUAUAAUGUCCCAAUUUUGGGAUAAAUUUAAUAUAAGGAAAUAUAUUUUUGUUUAUAGAAAAAAAUCGUUGGUCGAUUGCGUUAAUUUAAUAUUAUAUUAUCUAAUUUAUUACGGAAGAUUUUCAAAUCCGUCGAUGUUUGGAAUCCGUAUAAUAUCGCAAAAUAUUUUGCCUUUCCUUGCAUGGUUUUUCCCUGUUCGGAAUUCUAAUAUUUGGUCCGAACAACCGUUGGCUACGAUAAAAUUAAUAAACAGACGGAAACCAUGGAAGGGCGGAUUAAAAUUUGUAUCAAAUAUUUAAUACGACGCGGCUAAAAUCGAUGUUUUUUCUAUAGGUAUGCAAAGAAUAUAACCAAAGAAAGAAGACCCGGAACAGAUAAAUUAUUGUACAAAUUCUUUUAAAUGUAAUAAAACUCUUUUAUAAUUUCUUCUUUAAUUUAAAACGUAAUAUACCUUUUUCGACUGGAAACUAGCGUUUUAUAAUAAGGGAUUUUUCCUGGCAAUACAUUUACCGCCUUAUAACUUGGUAUUAUUUUCUUUGGGUGCGGUUAUAGGAUUAAAUUGCUUUAACCUUACCCGCGUCCCCAGCAAAACGUGUGGUCGCGAUAUAAUUAACCAAUUAUAUGUCAGGCUGUUAAUAAAACCUAAAUAGUAUAAUUAUUUGGUGCGUUAAAUCUUCCGUAUAAUUUGUAUUUUUUUCGGCUGGGAGAAAUAAUAGGCUUUAGCGGUGGUAAAAAUCACUAAUUUAAUCGAUUUAUAUUUUAUAAUUUUGGUUGUAUCGUCUGUUAAAUUCCCGUUUUUCCUACCGCAACGUCCAUUAAUCCAGCCGCAAUAUAAAAGCAAUUUCAUUUUAUGGACCAUUAAGAAAAAAAGAAUGCGAACAAACAAAAACCGCUUGACGGGAUUAAAAAAAAUCUCGAAAUUAAAUAUGGGUUUCCUCGGCCCAUAAUAUAACCAUUAAUUAUUUUCCCCAAAUAAGUUUUUACCUUUCAGCCCAAAUUCGGGGUUUUUUCGCCGCAAAAAUCGGUUCGCAGCUGGUACAAAAUUUUAACAUACCUGAUAAAUCCAAUAAAAAUUUUAAUUUACAAUUUUAAACAAAUUUUAGGACAUUUUCUAAAAUAUAUAUUAACCCUAACGGACUAACCUUUUGAUAAAAACAACCCUAAUUUGGGAUUGGAUUUAUAUUUUAUAAUUGGAAAACCGAGACAGGUUUUAGCAAUAUUAAUUAUAAAUACUUGGGCGUCCCAGUAAUCCGAAAUGGUAAUUUGAAAGGGUAAACAAUAUAUCCUAAUUAAAUUGUAAUAUAUAUUAUAUUUUCCGUAUUUAGAGAAAAACUGGUUGCAGAACGUCGCGCAAAAAUUAAUGUUUUGAAACGACGGGCUAAUACGACCAGAUAGCAAUAUUAUAAUAUUAUAUUUAACAAAACUAAUAAAGAAAUAGCAACGUUUAAUAAUGCAGACGCGAUAAUAAUCGACAAUUAAAAGUUUCCAAAUAAUAAAA